UAGGGAGGUAGCUGGGCCAGCAGAUCCUGGCUGUCCCUGUUUCUCAAGAUGCCAGCAGUCAGCAAAGCAGACCCUCUGAGUUUGCUCACAAGAACAAACUGGAUUGCAGAGCUGCUGGCACACAGGAAACAAAGGACCCUUGAAAUAACUUCCUCAUGGAGGCAUGAGCAAAGAUUUCCAAUGAGCAAGGAAAACAAUAGCCCUUGGGACCACGUGUGUUCUGUAA
rnacentral:lncRNA from 1 species